rnacentral:rRNA from 1 species
CCUACGGGCGGCACCAGUGGGGAAUAUUGCACAAUGGGCGCAAGCCUGAUGCAGCCAUACCGCGUGUAUAAAGAAGGCCUUCGGGUUGUAAAGUACUUUCAGCGGGGAGGAAGGUGUUGUGGUUAAUAACCACAGCAAUUGACGUUACCCGCAGAAGAAGCACCGGCUAACUCCGUGCCAGCAGCCGCGGUAAUACGGAGGGUGCAAGCGUUAAUCGGAAUUACUGGGCGUAAAGCGCACGCAGGCGGUCUGUCAAGUCGGAUGUGUAAUCCCCGGGCUCAACCUGGGAACUGCAUUCGAAACUGGCAGGCUAGAGUCUUGUAGGGGGGGCUAGAAUUCCAGGUGUAGCGGUGAAAUGCGUAGAGAUCUGGAGGAAUACCGGUGGCGAAGGCGGCCCCCUGGACAAAGACUGACGCUCAGGUGCGAAAGCGUGGGGAGCAAACAGGAUUAGAUACCUGCGUAGUC